AAGGGAGAAAUCGGAGGAUUUUUAAUUUUUUCGGUUUCUAAUUUUAAUACUCUUUCAAAUGAAUAAAUAGAACAAACAAUUUUGCUUUAAAACUGUGAAGAAUUGCUUUUUUUUUUUUUUUUU
rnacentral:ribozyme from 1 species